ACCGUGUCAAGUAGCCAUCAGCAUCAUCAGCAGAUUCAGUUUCAGAUUCAGUUCCUAUUAUAUCGUGAUGAGAAUCUCAUCUACUUGAAACUUGAAACGACCCUGGUCUCCCAAUGGCAAUCCAUGCUUGCUACAUUUAAAAAAUGUUUACUGAUCUCCCACCACCCAUAUUGCUUUCAAUGACAUGGGCACUUAAAGGAGUUGUACAUGGACCUAAAUAUAAAAAAUUAGAAAGAAAAUUUCCCAAGGAAUUUAAUGUGAAGAACUAAAAAAACUGCCCUUCAUCUCAUGGAAGUAAAAUGGAGGUCAGAGAAUGUGCGGAAUGAGUAUUGGUUACUGUCACAUUUCUUUCCAACAUCUACUUUGUUAACUCUGGAGCACAUUUGAUUACUUUUGUAAUUCCCAACAUAAAGUUUUAUCCAUCAAGAGGCUGGAGGACUGCAGAAAUAAAGAAUUCUUCCUACCCCCUUUGGCCCGUGGUAAAAUUAUGCACAAUUGUAAUGUCUACUUCUUCAAAGAAGGAUAAACACUUAUUAUCUACAACAAUGUUGAUAAUGACAUUAUCAUAAAACUUCGAAGUCUAGCAUCUUCAGCUGAUUCGUAGGUUGAAAUUCCGCGAAGGCUUCACACGUAUUCUACAGUUUAAGUACUGACAGGUGACAUGUAAAGUUGAAUUUAUGCGUGGUGAUGACACAAACUUAUGGAGAUUCGCUGGCAGAAAGUUGGGCAUGACCUCCGAUGUUCGAAGGUCCGAAAAGUGAUGGGCAUACUACCACAUCAAGAUGAUUUUCCGUCGUGUCUAAGAUGUCGCUAGUUAUAUCUCUUGCUUCAAGCAUCAUUUGUUGAAAAACAUAGCCGUGCGGCAAAAAGCACGUAGCAAACGUAAGGCAGAAAGUUUCGGGGAUCAUUCGUGUAUAUUAAGGAUUUCGAUUUCGUUAAAGAUGACUCACUGCUGGCGAAUAUCACAACUAUUCUGAAACAUUCCACAUGAUUCCUCGACUGCAUCUGAUUGUUAGCGAUGUGGAUGAAAUCGUCAUUUCGAUAAACCAGCACAGUGACUUUGAGCCAAAUGUUAUCGGCUUUUCCGUUAAUCCUUUGCUUAAACUCACGGAAUCUGAUCUCAUCGAACAUGUUUUUUUUUUGUUUGUUUUUUUCUCAAAAGAUAAGGUCUGGUCAAAUCUCCCUAUACCAACAGUUGAGAGAGGACAUCAAAAACUGUGCAGAUUUAGACGUUUACCGGCAUGUCUUGGAUGUAGAUAAUCUAUUUUUCCCUUUCAUGGUGUCGGGCAAGGCAGAUGGAAAUUGGCGAAUUUUUCGUGAUUUUAUGGUCAAUCUGAAACAAUGACAAACUGCAUUUCAUUUUACAGCAAAGAAGAGAUUGGUUUGUUGAUAGCCGUAGCCGAACGUUUCCUUGAUGUAGUUCGCGAUGUCGGAUUCCAAGUAAACUAUGAUGUUCUUUCAGCACUCACUUUACGCCAAAUGCGAAAAGACGGCACGCUAGAUACUACGUUUCGGAGAUUUCUUGUCGGCUGUCUUUCACUUCACCGUAGAAUGUGCGAGGUAGGCGAUUUUGAGAAGUAAUCCGUAACUGUCCCGUGCAUCACUUGCGGCCUCGGUAUUACGGCCAGUAAUGCAAUCUGACACAAGGAGCCAUGUCCCUCGGCUCAAUCUCCCAAACGUCAUAAAAGCCGACGAUGUUAUGUGACAUAGCAACAUCAGUAACCGAAGAUGCUGCAAGCCACUUCAUCUUGUGUCCGGAGCAUUGGCAAGAUCCUAAGAAUUAGGUCAAUGACACUUAUGUAUGCGUAUAUCCUUUAGUACGGGAAGUAUUUGAAGAAACUGGAGAAUCCUAUUUUAUUCACAAACAGAAGUCUGCAGCGUAACUAGGAAAGAAGAAAUCCAAAUGGAAAAAGUACGGCAGUGGCUUGAAGUUGAUUAUUUAUUCUCAAAUGAACGACAGAAUUUGACUGCCGUGACUCAGCGAGCUGGAUUUUUACGAGUUAAGACUUAAGUCUACUUCCAACCAGGAAUUGAUGCAGCAGCUAAUACUCCGGACACACUGCUGAAAGACCACACACACACGGCAGAAACCGGCGAGAUCAUUGCAGCCAAUAAAAACGCCUUUAAAAAACAAACACAUGUGUACAUAUACAAUUUCCCUAGUUUUUUGCUGUUAUAUACGACUGCCCAUUGAUUCUCUGGUGUCAUUUGUCCCAUGUCUUUGAUAUUGAGCAAUUCCUUUUACAACUCGCGUUGGUUGUAAAUUAGGAUAAAAGAUGGCGUGACUGCGCCUCUGCCUUUGUUUUGAAGUGUAGCGAGUGAAAUCUAUGUUCGAAUAUUUGUGAACUAUGUUACAUUCCGGUGAUAAGUUUGAUAAAAUUAAAUGGUGUGAUUUCAACUGUUGAGAGUUUUUCAUUGAUUCUUUCCUGUGUUUUGGAGUGAGAAAAAUCAAGUGGAUUAUUUUGUGUGCAACGGGUAAACUUGUGAUCAGCAAUGUCAGCUGCCAGAUCCAAACUUUUACUUUUACAUUCCAAUCAUGCUAUUCUAUUGCACGUUGAGAGAAGUAGUUGGUGAAAUCUAAAUAGCAAAAGAUACUAACCGUGAGGAAAGGUUAGAAAUGACACAAACU
rnacentral:lncRNA from 1 species